rnacentral:rRNA from 1 species
UAGGGAAUCUUCCGCAAUGGGCGAAAGCCUGACGGAGCAACGCCGCGUGAGUGAUGAAGGUCUUCGGAUCGUAAAACUCUGUUAUUAGGGAAGAACAAAUGUGUAAGUAACUAUGCACGUCUUGACGGUACCUAAUCAGAAAGCCACGGCUAACUACGUGCCAGCAGCCGCGGUAAUACGUAGGUGGCAAGCGUUAUCCGGAAUUAUUGGGCGUAAAGCGCGCGUAGGCGGUUUUUUAAGUCUGAUGUGAAAGCCCACGGCUCAACCGUGGAGGGUCAUUGGAAACUGGCAAACUUGAGUGCAGAAGAGGAAAGUGGAAUUCCAUGUGUAGCGGUGAAAUGCGCAGAGAUAUGGAGGAACACCAGUGGCGAAGGCGACUUUCUGGUCUGUAACUGACGCUGAUGUGCGAAAGCGUGGGGAUCAAACAGG